GGAAACACAAGUACUAACUCCACCUGAGGAAUUCCUCACGGACGACAGACAUCGCUGUUCAAGUCCACAUCUAUUGGAUUCCAGAAUGUCAAGGAGACAUACUAGAAUGCGUAACAGCUCAGACAAAAAAAAAAAAAAAAAAAAAAAAAAAAAAGAAGAGAAAACAUUACAGACUGAUUUCACAGUAGCCUACGGCAUGAGUAAUUCCCACAGAGCCGUGUGAGUGAGUGACAGUCACAAACAGACAUUCAAGAAGUCUAUUUCAGCCAGCCCAUUGUGACACAGGCCUGGAACCCCAACCUCAGGAGUCGCAGGCAGGAAGAUCACAACUUAAAUCUAUCAGUGAGAUUCUGUCUCAAAAGCAAAAGGUAGGGAGAGGGCACAGUAGUUAAGAGCACUGAUUGCUCUCAGAUGAUCUGGGUUUGGUUCCCAAUAGCUACAUUCACAUUUCACAGCCAUCUGUAGCUCCAGCUCCAGAAGAUACUACUUCUGGCCACUGUGGGCAUCAGGCACCCACAUGGUGCACAGACAUACAUUCAGGACCUCUCACAUAUACAUAAAACAACACAUGUACAUAUACACAUACAC
rnacentral:lncRNA from 1 species